rnacentral:rRNA from 1 species
AGGGUUUGAUCCUGGCUCAGAAUGAACGUUGGCGGCGUGGAUUAGGCAUGCAAGUCGAGCGAGAAGUCUUGGUUUGAAGCUUCGGCUGAUUUCUAAGAUGGACAGCGGCGCAAGGGAGAGUAAUGAGUGGAUUACCUACCCCCAGGACCGGGAUAGCUGCGGGAAACUGCAGGUAAUACCGGAUAAUAUCUCCGGAUCAAAUGGUGAGAUUCCGCCAGGGGAUGGGUCCGCUUCCUAUUAGCUUGUUGGUGGGGUAACGGCCUACCAAGGCAAUAAUGGGUACCGGGUGUGAGAGCAUGGCCCGGCUCACUGGGACUGAGACACUGCCCAGACACCUACGGGUGGCUGCAGUCGAGAAUCUUCCGCAAUGGGCGAAAGCCUGACGGAGCGACGCCGCGUGCGGGAUGAAGGCCUUCGGGUUGUAAACCGCUGUCAGUUGGGAGGAAAUCUAUGAGGGUCAUCCCUCAUAGUUGACCUAUCAUCAGAGGAAGGACGGGCUAAGUUCGUGCCAGCAGCCGCGGUAAGACGAACCGUCCAAACGUUAUUCGGAAUUACUGGGCUUAAAGGGUGCGUAGGCGGCUUGGCAAGUUGGGUGUGAAAUCCCUCGGCUCAACCGA